rnacentral:rRNA from 1 species
GACGAAGGAUGCAAGCGUUAUCCGGAUUCAUUGGGUUUAAAGGGAGCGUAGGCGGCCUUGUAAGUCAGUGGUGAAAUCUCUGGGCGUUAACCCAGAAAUUGCCAUUGAUACUGCAGGGCUUGAGUACAGUUGCCCGUUGGCGGAAUAUGACAUGUAGUGGUGAAAUACAUAGAGAUGUCAUAGAACACCGAUUGCGAAGGCAGCUAACGAAACUGUAACUGACGCUGAGGCUCGGAAAGUGUGGGGAUCAAACAGG